UACGGAGGGUGCAAGCGUUAUCCGGAUUCACUGGGUUUAAAGGGUGCGUAGGCGGGCAGGUAAGUCAGUGGUGAAAUCCUAGAGCUUAACUCUAGAACUGCCAUUGAUACUAUCUGUCUUGAAUAUUUGUGGAGGUAAGCGGGAAUAUGUCAUGUAGCGGUGAAAUGCUUAGAUAUGACAUAGAACACCUAUUGCGAAAGGCAGCUUACUACGCAUAUAUUGACGCUGAGGCACGAAAGCGUGGGGGAUCAAAACAGG
rnacentral:rRNA from 1 species